CCUACGGGAGGCUGCAGUGGGGAAUAUUGGACAAUGGGGGCAACCCUGAUCCAGCCAUGCCGCGUGUGUGAAGAAGGCCCUCGGGUUGUAAAGCACUUUCAGUGAGGAAGAACGCCUGGUGGUUAAUACCCAUCAGGAAAGACAUCACUCACAGAAGAAGCACCGGCUAACUCCGUGCCAGCAGCCGCGGUAAUACGGAGGGUGCGAGCGUUUAUCGGAAUUACUGGGCGUAAAGCGCGCGUAGGUGGCUUGAUAAGCCGGUUGUGAAAGCCCCGGGCUCAACCUGGGAACGGCAUCCGGAACUGUCAAGCUAGAGUGCAGGAGAGGAAGGUAGAAUUCCCGGUGUAGCGGUGAAAUGCGUAGAGAUCGGGAGGAAUACCAGUGGCGAAGGCGGCCUUCUGGACUGACACUGACACUGAGGUGCGAAAGCGUGGGUAGCAAACAGGAUUAGAUACCCUAGUAGUC
rnacentral:rRNA from 1 species